GACGAACGCUGGCGGCGUGCUUAACACAUGCAAGUCGAACGGAAAGGCCCUGCUUUUGUGGGGUGCUCGAGUGGCGAACGGGUGAGUAACACGUGAGUAACCUGCCCUUGACUUUGGGAUAACUUCAGGAAACUGGGGCUAAUACCGGAUAGGAGCUCCUGCUGCAUGGUGGGGGUUGGAAAGUUUCGGCGGUUGGGGAUGGACUCGCGGCUUAUCAGCUUGUUGGUGGGGUAGUGGCUUACCAAGGCUUUGACGGGUAGCCGGCCUGAGAGGGUGACCGGCCAAAUUGGGACUGGGAUACGGCCCAGACUCCUACGGGAGGCAGCAGUGGGAAUAUUGCACAAUGGGCGGAAGCCUGAUGCAGCAACGCCGCGUGCGGGAUGACGGCCUUCGGGUUGUAAACCGCUUUCGCCUGUGACGAAGCGUGAGUGACGGUAAUGGGUAAAGAAGCACCGGCUAACUACGUG
rnacentral:rRNA from 1 species